CACCCGGCGGCGGCCGGGGCGGCUCUGGCUCUAGGCGGAGGUAUUGGCUCUCAUGAAAGGUGCUGGGAGGUAGAGAUGGAGUAGUCAUCUGGUUUUCGUGGGAGAACAAUGCCGUCAACGGGAAGCAGAAUAUAGAUUUCCAAGGAGAGAGGGAUGCGCCAAACACACUGUCCUUCCUUCCUAAACAGCCUGCUUAGGGAGGGCAGCAGGCAAGGUCACCGCUUGGCCGCGGGCCGCGGCUUCCAGGCCCCUCCGGGAGGACGGGGCGCCGAGGCCUCGGAAGCCACGCCCCAGGGAAGACCCCGCAGACGAGCCAAUAGAAGACGCGUUCCUUCCCUCCCACAUGGCCAGCUGCUAAUUUCGCAGAUUAACUGGGGCUGCCCAGACUCAGCACCCAAACUCCUCCAAGCCAGGCUUGGCCGGAACACACCGGCAGGAAAAGGGCGCCCAGCGUCCACUCGAGCUCUGUUUAGUCUGAAAGGGAAACCCCCUGAAUAAUUCCCUCGGUCGUCAUGGUUAACGCUCAAAACGCUACGUAGGUCACCCAAUAAACACUUUCAAAUCCCAACCAACAUGCCAAG